rnacentral:lncRNA from 1 species
CUUAACACGAUUUUAGAGCAAAAUUCACCCAGCGGCUCGGCAUUUUAUCCUGUUUUCUGCUAAUAUACCGAAUCGAUGCUCUUGCAAAUUUUUCAAUUUUUUUCCUGAGACGACAAAAUUCCCAGAUAAAAUGGAGAGUUCUAAGAAUGGUAGAGAAUCAAAUGAAGAAAUUUCUGAGAAAGAUGAAAAUAUACUAAGUUUUUUGGACUCCAUGGAUACCUAUCUAACUCUUAUGGAUUCCUUGUCUUCAACACUCCGCCAGGUAAAAUUUCUCUUUUCUGUAUUAUUAAUUUCCAUCACUGAAAGAUUGAAUUUUUAUUGACUGGAUCUCCCAUUUUGUUCUUGGAGCGUCUCAUGUGUACCCUUUUUACUGGAGUGCAUAAAACCAGCAUCAUUUUGAUUGAAAUUAUUUCGAGUGCUUAUUCUUUCUGUUAUAUCAGUGGGCAUGUUCUGGUAAAAGAAAACAAGUAAUCUGCAAACAAUAUUCAGAUUUAUUUACCUUGAUUUUUGAAUUUUUUUCUGUGAGAAAAAUAUGAAAUUUGUAUGUAUCAGUGUACGUCUGAAAUUUUCUCUUCUAAAUAUAUUUUUGAGUUUCAAGAUUGCAUUAAUUUUUAUGACUGUUUUCUCAUCGUCGAUGAUGAGGUAAAGUUUCAAGACUCUUGAAUAUAUAGAAAACAGAAUUACCUCACCAAUGAUGUUAAAAGAUACAUUAACCCUAUCAAUACUAUCAUAUUGGUGCAAGAUUCCUGGUUUCAUCUUGUUUUUGUCUCGACUUUUGACCCACGAUCCAAGUGUAUUGUAGAAAACAUCAUCUAGUUGACAAAGCAAACAUAAAGUUAAAUUGCAAGGCAGAUAAGGGAAUCAAAUUCCCCAGGACCAUGUAGAAAUAAGUGCUCAUAACGUUUCUUGAGAAGUUCAAAGUUUUCCCUUUUCAAGUUAUUAUAAUAGAAUGUAAGAGUUGAAUCUCAACAGAACAUAACCCAACCCAGACCAACAAAAUCAAAAAAAUUCAACAAGUAAAUUGAGCAAUUUCAACUGAACUUUUUAUUAAGCUGAUGAACAAAUGAGAAUAGAGGUGGGAGAAGAGGGAAAUGGGAAGGAUAUUCGUGUAACUGAAAUUCUGCAAUACUGCAAUGAACAAGACAGAUUAUCCUUUCUCCAAAUCGUCGCUGAUAUACCCUCACCUCCUAACCCACUAGAUGCCAAAUUUUAGCAGCAUAUUAAAAGAAAGCGUGUUUGUUACAAGAAUUAAUCUACUUGUACCAAAUGUCUUAUCUAAUUUUUGACUGAACUGACACAUGGCCUGUCCACUGCAAUAAGGGCGCAACACUUGUCAAUUCGAUCAUCCAUUUGGUAAAUGAUUUGGUACAUAUAGCAUCUCCCUUGUUACAAUUCUUUCUAAUUAAAAGAAAGGUAAAAGGCUAUUUCAUCAGCUUAUCCUUAAGUUGCAACAGCAACGUUUCCAUCAAUCUAUCUAUUAGUAUUUCUGUUAAUCCUGCUUCUCUAACCCUUUCUUCUGAAAUGAACCCUUCUGCAAGUUUUUCCAUUCCUGACUUCUCCUUAUGACAUAGAAUACUUGAGAACUUAGAUUCAAUAAGUUUUUAUGCAUGAAACUUUCGAGUCUUUAAUGUUCAUUUAUGUCCAACUCGCUCUUAUCUUAUUCUUGACAUCGUGUUUUAGUCAUCCUUUCUCAUUAUUGAUUGAACCUUAGCACUUAAAACGAUUACUUUUUGAAAUGACUUCGUUAUCACCAUUAUUCCUAUUGUUACAAGGACAUCUUCUAUCAUUUCAUUUUUAUUUCAAAUAACAUAAAAUCUUCUGAUUAUACUAUUAUCCCGCUGUCAGUUUCAUCAAUUUUUUUUUUAUAGGUAAUCAAAUAAUUUUAUUACUUAAAAGAGAAUACACGGGGGGUGUACAAUCACUUUAAGCUAUUAAGGAAAAGCAUGAAAUUAGGCAACCCAUCUACAGGAUUUCUAGCCACCGCAUUAAACGAAGAAUACAAGGUAAAGUAAAAUGUUUCUCUUAUCUGCUCUCUUGUCUUUGUUUGGUCUUCGAAGCAACGGUUGUUCCUUUCUCUCCACACGCACCAAACAAUGCAGCCCGAGAUAAGGUGCCAUGCUAGUUUGCUAUCCUUAUCCCGAAGUUUUCUAUGCCAUGCCCGUAUCACGUCCUCUAUACGACGAAUCAUCACCCAAUCCAUAGAUUGUGAACUGAUUAUAUUGUUCCAAAUCCAACGUACACCAUCACAAUGAAUGAACAAAUGAUCAAUCGUCUCCCCAUCCUUCUUGCACAUAUAACACCACUCGGUUGCAUAAAAGCCUUUACGACGAAGAUUAUCCACCGUUGAGACCUGUUCCCUCACAACUGUCCACAAAAGGAAUGCCACCCGAGGAGGCAAUUUACACUGCCAAACCAACUUCCAUGGGAAUGAAUUAUUCACACAUCCCAUGAGGGAACCAAAGUAUGACCGAACCGAGAAAAUGUCAUCCUGUGCUGUCCUCCACUUGAUGCAAUCCCUCUCUCCAAUCCGAAUUUGGGCCUCAUGUAAAAUGAUCAUAAACAGCGAAUAAUCUUCCAAUUCCCAAUCCUGAAGAUCCCUCCCAAAAGUUAUAUUCCAGCUAUAACUCCCAUUAUGAAUGUCUAAGAGAUCACUCACCAUGGCAGUGGACAUUGAGGCAAUACGAUACAAAGAAGGGAAUCUCUCCUUCAGCGGUUGAUCUCCGCACCAACAAUCAUCCCAAAAUUUAAUCUCAUUACCAUUUCCAACCACAAACUUCAGUUUGUCCAAAAAUGCACUCCAUCCCCGUCGGAUAUACCUCCACAAGCUCACCCCAUAAGAACCACGAUCCUCAAAUGUACACCAUCCCCCAUCGGUCACACCAUACCUCGCCCCAAUUAUUUCUCUCCAGAAACUGUCCCUCUCCACUCCAAAUCGCCACAACCACUUGCCUAAUGAGGCUUUAUUGAACAACACAAGGCUCCUCACCCCAAGACCUCCCAUCCUCAUCGGCAAACAAACAACUCCCUCCUCUCCUCUUCCAACCCUGCCCACAGAAAUUCUCUUUGAAGCCUCUCUAGUCUCUUUGCCACUGCAAUCGAAAUGGGGAACAAUGACAAAAAGUAAGUAGGGAGAUUGGAGAGAGUGGAUUUAAUGAGAGUAAGUCUACCACCCUUAGAAAGGUACAUACGCUUCUACCCUGCUAACCUUCUCUCCAUCCUUUCCACAAUACCAUUCCAGAUAUGGGUACUUUUAAAUCGUGUCCCUAAUGCGAGUCCUAGAUAUGACAUCGGCAACUGCGCAACCUUACAACCUAAUAUAUCAGCCAGCUCCUCGACAUUAUUAACCUCCCUAACUGGAAUAGCCUCAGACUUUCCCAAAUUAAUUUUCAAACCAGACACUGCUUCAAAACAUAAGAGCAGACGGUGCAAGUUCCUGAAUUGUUCUACAUCUGCAUCACAUAAAAUCAACGUGUCAUCUGCAAAUAACAGAUGAGACACUUGCAAUUGAUCAACCAUAAAACCCCUUAUCAAACCCGCUCUCACUGCUCUUUCAAUCAUCCUACUGAGAGCCUCCAUCACAAUGACAAAUAACAAUGGGGAUAAUGGAUCCCCUUGUCUCAAGCCUCUACUGCUUCGAAAAUAACCCUCUGGUGUUUCGUUGACCAAAACUGAGAAUGAAACAGUAGAAAUACAGAAUUGAAUCCAUUUACACCAUUUAUCCCUAAAGCCACAGCGCCUGAGCAUAUAUAACAAGAAACCCCAAUUCACAUGGUCGUAAGCCUUCUGAUAUCUAGCUUACAAAGCAUCCCUGGGGCCCUUAGGCACAUUCUUGAAUCUAUGCAUUCAUUCGCUAUAAGCACAGAGUCCAAAAUCUGACGCAUUUUUACAAAUGCAUUCUGAAACUUGGACACUACUUUUCCCAGUACCUCCUUUAAUUUGUUUGCCAGGACUUUCGAAAUAAUCUUAUACACCCCGCUGACAAGGCUAAUGGGGCGAAAGUCCUUAAUAUCAGUCGCUCCCGGUUUCUUAGGGAUGAGCACAAUAAAUGUGGCAUUAGAACUUCUCUGGAAUCUGCUACGUUCAAAAAAAUAAGAUAAAGUAUUCAAAAUGUCCAGUCGAACCACAUCCCAACACGCUUUGUAGAAUGAGAACGAGAAACCGUCCGGUCCCGGGGCCUUAUCAUCGUUCAUGCUGAAAACGACCUCCUUAAUUUCAUCCUUCCCAAAUGAUCUCUCCAUCCAUCGGGCAUCAUCCUCAUUGAUUGUAGAAAAGUGCAAUCCCUCCAAUUCUUGCCUCCAUUCAAAUUGCUCCUGAUAGAGGUUCUGAUAAAAAUUAACCAGUUGGCUUCCAAUUUCCUAUGGUUCCUCAUAAGUAACCCCGUCUACCUCCAAAGCUGUGAUGGAGUUGUUCCUCCUAUUAGAAUUGGCGACCCUGUGGAAGAAUUUAGUGCAUUUAUCCCCCUCUUUCAACCAAGUAACUCUAGAUUUCUGUCGUCAAUUAAUCUCCUCCAUCUCCACCAACCUCUCCAUCUCUUCCUUUAAUCCUCUAUGUCUCUCAUUCUCCUUCCCAGUCAACCCCUGACUCUCCUUCCGCCUAUCCAAUUCCUCUAUUUCUAACAGACACUGAUUUUUACUGCAGUUAACAUUGCCUACAACUUCCUCAUUCCAUUUCUUUAAGUCCCCUUUCAACGCCUUUAGCUUCUGAUCCAAUACAAAACAGGGAGACCCACUGACUUCAUAGGAAGUCCACCACGUCUGUACUCGCUCCCUAAAACCUUCUACUUUCAACCACAUCUUCUCAAACCUGAAAGGUCUUCUUCCACCACCCCUUCUAUUCCCCGAUAACAUAAUAGGAAAAUGAUCCGAGUAUACCCUCCCCAAUCUUCUCUGAGUGACAUCUGAAUAUUUAGACUCCCACUCCCCACAAAUCAAGAACCUAUCAAUACAAGUCAGAACGGGUUGAUCCCGGUUGGAUGACCAGGUAAAAUCUCCCCCAAUCAUAGGUAAAUCCACCAACAAAUUCUCCCUAAUAAAAUCUGAGAACUCCUCCAUUGCCCUAGUUAGUCUCCCAUCACUCGACCUCUCCGAAGGAAAUCGAAUCACAUUGAAAUCACCCCCAAUACAUGUAGGGAGAUUCCACCAAGCCCUCAUUCCAGCCAGUUCAUCCCACAAACCCACUCUACUGUCAUCAGAAUUAGGCCCAUAAACUCCUGUGAACAUCCACCGAAAUCCAUCCUCACAAUUUUUGAAAGAAAUCGAUAUAGAGAACACCCCUAUACUCACCUCCUUUAUCUCAAGCACUCUAGUGUCCCACAUCACCAACACGCCUCCUGAAAUCCCUGAUGACCCCAAAAACUGAUAUCCAACAUGAUCUCCCCCCCAUAAACUACGAAUCACUGCCCUCGAGAUAAACUCCAUCUUAGUUUCUUGUAGGCAAACAAGAUUUGCAUCCCAUCCCCUUAGCAAAUGACGAACACCAAGCCUUUUACUAACCUCAUUGAGACCUCUUACGUUCCAGCAAAUGAGUUUUGGCAUCAUUGUAACACUCCAUAACCCCUCCCCAUUGUUCCUUUCUUGGACUCGCCAUCCUUACCAGCAUAGUUUACUGACCAUUCGAGCCUCUUAAGCUCACGAUCACCCUUUUUUCUUAAUUUACUUCCAUGUGUACUGAUGUCUUGUCCCCUAUUAGCCUCCAACUCCUUGAAUAAUUGUAGCAAUCUACUUUCAUACCCAUCACAUGACACGCCAACCAACUUACUGAAUUCCUGAAUUUUUUGUAGCACCCAGUUUGAAGGUGGGUGACCAACUUCUAACACAAUAGCUCCUGAAGUAUCCUCACCCUGAUAGCCCUCGAGAUGAUCAAAGGACCGUUCUUUCUCUUCCACCACUGGUAUAAUGUCACUGUCACUUUCUCCUUUCUUGGCACCACCUACCCAUAACACCAAAGCUUUUUCGGUCCCCAUAUCAUUAUCUUUUGUCCUCCUAUUAUAAGUGUUCGUAAUACUUGAUAUCGUCUGUGUAGAGUUGUUUUCUUUCACAGUGUCCAUUGACAAUUUCUCCAAGUUCACCAUACUAAACUCCCCUUCCUUAGACAACGGUUCCUCUUCUCGUUCAACUGCAAUCCCCGUGUCUACUUCAAUUCGGUUGACCCCCACAAAGUCAACCCCGUCAUCGUUUUCAUGGUAUCCCGCUUCCAUCCUCACCUGAGAAUCACAAUGUUCAUCUCCUCCCUGCUUUGCAUGUUCUGUAAUUGAUGGUAGUUCCUCAUGAGUCAAUCCCGGUACUUGUAUUUCACCGAUUUGAUCCUCAUCCAACUUAACCCCACACUUGUGACAGCGUACCAAUUUCAUGGGCUCCAUUUCAGGUCCGCUUCCAACCAAUCUAAGUAAUUCAUCUAAUGCUCCUUUCAACUCCUGCGCACGAGUUAUUAUUUCAGCCCUACUCAAACAAAUGUCUUGACCUUCGUUAUCACCGAC